AAAACUUUAUUCUUAAAUUUGAUACAUUCUGUUUAUGGUUACAGUUCUUUCUGAAAUCAUCUUUCGCAAGAUAAUAACAGCUUUAUCACAUUGAUGACCCAAAUAUCCUCAUAAAAACCUUGGGCUAUGGAUGAAGUAGAUUCGCCUUUCCUUAAGAAGAAGAAAUCAAUGCAGAAAAAGUCAGAUACAAUAUUUCAGUCCGAAUUACAAAUGAAACUUCAGCAGCGCAGAAAAGAUGGACUGACUUAUGGACUGACCAGUGAGGAGAGCGAUAGUCUUGUAGACGAUGAUGAUGGAGAUAGUGAUGAAGAAAUUCUAGCCCAACACAGAAGAAACUUAUCAAACCAGAAGCACUCUAACCGUCCAAGCUCAGCAAAAAGGAGAACCCCUACCUUUCAAGACACUAGUGAUAUGAGCCUAGGUGAUACCAUUAAGCCUGGGCAAGGCGGAAACAGAUUUAUGAAGCAAAGAGGGCAACAGGGUCAAAAAGAGAGUAUCCCUCCCCUUAGCAUGGGUGGUAAAGGAGGAAGAACCUCUCCUGGGAUGCCCUCUCUGACAUCUCCAAAACUCUCUCCAAAAGACAGCAAAAGUCUCAGUGAUGCAUUAGGUGGGAAAAGGACACCCAGUCCUAAGUAUCCUAACCAAUCCAUGUCUCAGGAAGAUAUCAUUUUUGGCAGAAAAACACCUACAAAUGAUCCAAGACGUCAGAGUCCAACAGAUAACAAACCAUGGCAGCCACCCAACUUUCGUAAGAGCCCUUCCACUGAGCAGCUGGACAACAGAGCCCCAUCUCCUGGACCUGGUGUUCAAGGCAGAAGAACUCCUCAAGAUUCAUUUCUACAAAGCAUUGACGAGAAUGGGAAAACGCCCAGAAAGGAUAGAUUUCCUAGUCCAAAAGACCGCAGCCCAAAGGGAGGUCUUGCUAGUCCCAAGGAUCGAUUUUCCAAGUCUGACAGAAAAUCUCCAAAGAGUCUAUCUAUAGACGAUUCACCUAGACUUGAUGAUGUACCUAAGCCUAGACCUAGACACAAAACAGACAUAUUUGGUAAAACAGACCAAGUGGAUGUAGACUUAGAGACGGAUUCUCCCUCCGCUCAUAGGUUUCACAGGGCGGGCCCAGGUGGAAGAAAAACUCCUACACAGACUGGAAGAAAAACUCCAACAAACUUAGAUGGCAGGAAGACACCUACCAAUUUGGAUGGAAGGAAAACACCAACAGAUAAGCCAUCCUCAAGAAAAAGAGGGGAGAAAGAAACAAAACAUGAACCUGUCAAAAGAGAGGCAUCUCUCCUUGAUUUUCUUUCAGAAGAUACUACAAGAAAGAAGAAAGAGGAACCCAAGAGGAAGUUGCUCGUCCAGGAUCCACAGGAGUCCCAGGAGAGGGAGGAAAGCAUCAGGGACGAUAUCCUAGGGGACAAAAUAAACCGGGCCAAGCAGAGGCAAAAUAAUCGGGACGGCAGCAAUGGGGACACGAAAACUGACUCAAGGAAACAAAGAGACGAGGACAAGGUUAUCCCCGACGACAGUUCAUUGUGCGAAGAGUUCGAUAAAGACCCUCUAGGAAGAUCGUUUGCCGAGCCUGUGAAAGAGGCAAAACCAGGUAGAGGCCCAACAGAGAGUAAGAAGUCAGAUGACAUCAUAAACAAAGUCGCUCGGGAACAAAACAAGCCAGACACAGGAACCAUCAAGUCAGAGAAAUCUCUCAAAAAGGGUGAGAAAGAACACCGCCCAAAGCCCAGAUACACUAUUCCUGGGACCCCGACUAGUCAAGGCACCCUGUCAGAAAUGUCCUUCAACGACACCAUGUCCAUCCGUCAGGCUGUGUACGAAGAAUGGAGGAAGGAGAAACUGAAAUCAGCAAGGAAGGAGAAAAAAGAGCAGGAAUUGAAGAAACAGGAAGAAGAGAAGAAGAAAGAGGAAGCCAAAAAAGAAAAACUGUUAGAAAAUGAAAGUACAUUCAGGACAUGGAAAGAAUCCAAAGAGGAGACUUUUGUGAAAAAGAUUAAGGAAGAGAAGAGGAAAGAAAGGGAAAAGAAGGAGAAAGAGGAGAAAGAUAAACAACAAAAGAUCAGAGAAGCUGAAAAGACAUUCAAAAUAUGGAAGGAGGAGAAAGAUAUUGAAAUAAAGGAGAAAUUGAAAAAGAAGAGAGAAGAGGAGAGAGAGAAAAAGGAUGCAGAGGACGAAGUUAAGAGAGCUAAAGAAAGGGAAAAUCAGACUGCUUUAAGAGGAUGGAAUAACAAAAAAGAACAAGUCUUAAAGGAAAAAGAAAAGGAAGAAAGAAAGAAAAAAAUGGCCACUCUCAAGGAACAAGAGGAUCUGAAAAAGGAGCAAGAGAGAGAGGCAGAAAAACUGUACCACGAUUGGCUGCAUAGAAAGGAAGUGAACAAAAAGAAAGAGAAAAGCAGAAGAUAUGGCUCUACAGAAAGCAUUGAAUUCCGCCCUGCAUGGAGCCCGGCCAGUAAGACAAUUCCAUUCGGGAGAUAGAAUCCGUCAGCCAUGAUAAAGUCACUUUUUUCACAGAAGACAUUCAUGUCAGCAGCGGUUUGGUGGUUUGGUGUCGUGCUAAUGACUCAAAAGUAGUGGAUAAGACUUGACUUGCUUGUCUAAUAGAUAUACUUAUGACGCAACAAGAGUUCAAAUUGUCAGAAAUAGUUGAGGGAAAAGAAGUCUCACCCCAAGAACUAAUCCCUGUAGAGUAGAUAAAGAUGGAGCUGGAACCAUUUUCAUAAAAUUUGCUCAGUCAUAUAUUCACAGAAAAAUCAUUAGAACUUGCCCGUCCAUUGGUUGGUUGUGGAUACAUGUAAUAUGUCAUCUCAGUUUUUUCCUGCCUAUUAUUUUAUAAUUUUUUUCACAUAUAUGUUGAACCCAACUGUAUUUUUAAAAAAUUGAAAUGUUUUUAGUGGCAUCAAUUCUUUUCUGAAGUAUUUGGCUUCUUAUAUGUCGCAAUUGAAAUUCCGUCCUGUUGUAUAUGUGGUAUGACUAGCUGUUCUACAUAAAUAAUUAUACAUGAUUCAACAUAGAUUAAGUUUGUGCUAUGUAAUAUUUUGUUAUGAAUAUUUUUGUUUAUUUGUGUUGUUACAUCCGUGGUUGGUAAUUUUACUUUCAUAUUUUUAGGAAUUAUUUUUAGAUAUAUAACUCCCUUUAUUAAAGUGACAAUGUGACCAUCAGAGUUACACUCUCAAUGCAUUCCUAAAUCUAUUUAGAAUCCGAAUAGUUUUUAUUUUAGUACAAUUUUAACUUGUACUUCUGUUAAAAUACAUGGAAAUGUACAUGUAAAUGAUUGCCUUAUUUUCCGUAUAAUUUAGUUGUAACUUAAUUCUUUCUAUCAUUAUAUUUAUCAUAAAAUCAGGAAAAUAAAAAAGUUGUUGAAAGAAUUUUGUUCUUUAACUUUGGGUGUAUCCAAUGCCAUUCAGCGUUUGUUAAAAGUCCUUGGUUUAAAUUGGAAAAAAAAAAGUACCAGUAUUACGGUGACGGUUAUUUUAUAUCCGGCUACUAUAAAUUUUUUUCCUUCAUAAGUCUCAAUACAACCAG
rnacentral:misc_RNA from 1 species